GGGGGUGAAAGGUUUCGACUUUGUACGUACCGUCUAGGGGAAGCGGGUCGAGGAUGCCAAGGACGAUCUCGUUAACCAUUCCUUGGAAACCAAUAAGUGCCAAUACAUCGCGCACUGAUCUCACUCUCGCUGCCUAAGCGAGCUUGAAGAUCCGUCAGCCCGGAGCUGCUUCCGAUCCGGUGUCUGGCGUCGACUAGGAAGCUCAACCUGAUGGCCCGGUCACGGGGCUAGCGGGAACAUCAAACAGUGACUGAGCCCGCCGGCAGCUUGCCUGCGUGACUGCCGGGGCUGAGAAAAGCACAGUGGGCUGCACCCGGAGAAGCCCUGUAUGGACGACGAAGGACGCGGGUUCGAUUCCCGCCACCUCCACCA
rnacentral:tmRNA from 1 species